UGAAUCGUUGACUAAUCGGUAAGUCCCAUGUAUUUGGUACAUGUCUAUAUACGUUCGAAUCGUAUCGAUUCAG
rnacentral:tRNA from 1 species